rnacentral:rRNA from 1 species
UAUCUCUGUAGAGUCUGCAUAUCAAUAAGCGGAGGAAAAGAAACUAACAAGGAUUCCCUUAGUAACGGCGAGUGAAGCGGGAAGAGCUCAAAUUUGAAAUCUUCAAGGUUCUACCUUGACGAAUUGUAGUUUAAAGAAGUGUUUUCUGUUGGAGUUUUGGUAAAAGUUCUUUGGAAUAGGACAUCAUAGAGGGUGAGAAUCCCGUAUUUGACCGUUAUUCUUCCAGCUGUGUGAUACACUUUCAAAGAGUCGGAUUGUUUGGGAAUGCAGUCCAAAAUGGGUGGUAAAUUUCAUCUAAAGCUAAAUAUUGGCGAGAGACCGAUAGCGAACAAGUACCGUGAGGGAAAGAUGAAAAGAACUUUGAAAAGAGAGUUAAACAGUACGUGAAAUUGUCAAAAGGGAAGCGUUUGACACCAGUGUUGUUUUCUCGAAAAUCAAUUAAAAAUGGCCGGAUUUUGUGUUGUAUUGACUUUAUCAGCUUUCUGCACUUUUUUCUUGUCUUUUUUAAUGCACUUUUCGUUUAACAAGUCAACAUCAAUUUCUUUUGUUGUAAAAGAGUCAUUGGAAGGUGGCUUUCACUUCGGUGAAAGUGUUUAUAGCCUUUGACUUCUGCAAUCGGAGAGAUUGAGGUCUGCAGCGUAGAUCCUUCGGGGUUAGAUACAUUUGUGCUAAGUUAUAGUUUUUCAUAGACAACAUGUUGACUAUGAUUAAUCAUGUAGCUUACUCGCUUAUGCUAUUUUACCUACGCUUAGGAUGUUGAACGCGCACAGAGUCUC